UACGCCUACGGGAGGCAGCAGUGGGGAAUAUUGCACAAUGGGGGAAACCCUGAUGCAGCGACGCCGCGUGGAGGAAGAAGUAUUUCGGUAUGUAAAGCUCUGUCAGCAGGGAAGAAAGCAAUGACGGUACCUGACCAAGAAGCCCCGGCUAACUACGUGCCAGCAGCCGCGGUAAUACGUAGGGGGCAAGCGUUAUCCGGAAUGAUUGGGCGUAAAGGGUGCGUAGGCGGCCUGCUAAGUCUGGAGUGAAAGGUACCGGCUCAACCGGUACAGGCUCUGGAAACUGGCGGGCUAGAGAGCAGGAG
rnacentral:rRNA from 1 species